AAUAAGUACAGUUUUGCAUUAUUCACGUUCAACGUUUGAUCGUUCGCCUUAUUUGAAAUUUUUUUAUGAUUAGUAUUUUUAUUGCUAUUAGAUGAUAAAACAUGAAUAAUACUUUAUGUGUGACUAAAUAUAUUUAAAUUUUUCAUAAAUUUUUCAAAUAAGACGGACGGUCAAAUGUUGGGCACGGAUAUUUACGGCUGUACUUAUU
rfam:Oryza sativa (indica cultivar-group) chromosome 2, whole genome shotgun sequence.